GAUGAACGCUGGCGAUAUGCCUUACACAUGCAAGUCGUACGAGAGUUUUUAACUCAAGUGGCGGACGGGUGAGUAACACGUAAGAAUUUGCCUUUAGGAGGGGGACAACAACUGGAAACGGUUGCUAAUACCCCAUAUGCUUUCGAGUGAAAUGGAUUUCCGCCUAAAGAGAAGCUUGCGGCUGAUUAGCUUGUUGGUGAGGUAAUGGCUCACCAAGGCGACGAUCAGUAUAUGGUUUGAGAGGAUGAUCAGACACACUGGAACUGAUACACGGUCCAGACUCAUACGGGAGGCAGCAGUGGGGAAUUUUCCGCAAUGGGCGAAAGCCUGACGGAGCAAUUCCGCGUGAGGGAUGACGGCCUAUGGGUUGUAAACCUCUUUUUUCAGGGAGGAAUCAAUGACGUGUACCUGAAGAAUAAGCAUCGGCUAACUCCGUGCCAGCCGCCGCGGUAACAC
rnacentral:rRNA from 1 species